rnacentral:rRNA from 1 species
UACGUAGGGUCCGAGCGUUGUCCGGAAUUACUGGGCGUAAAGCGCGCGCAGGCGGCCCGCGAGGUGUCACGUGAAAGCCCCGGGCUCAACCCGGGAGGGUCGUGGCAAACCGGCGGGCUUGAGGCCGGUAGAGGUGGGUGGAACUCCUGGUGGAGUGGUGAAAUGCGUAGAGAUCGGGAGGAACACCUGUGGCGAAGGCGGCCCCCUGGGCCGGCCCUGACACUGAGACGCGAAGGCGUGGGGAGCGAACGGG